CGACGCCCUGGCCCGGCCAGGCCAGGCCCAGGAACUAGCGCUCCCCCUUCCGGCUCAGAGCGGGAGGGGCGACAGGGCAUGCGCAACGAGGUGCAGUUGCCGGAGGCCGCUUCCAUCCCUAUGUUAAAGAAAUCCUCUUCGGGUUUUCCUAGAGCAUGGGGGGCGGAGAAGUCAGCCCGAUCCUUCAAUUCCGAAGCUGAAAAGGGCUUUUAGUUUCAGUUACCUGAGGAACGGAUGGAAUCGUGUCCCGCAGCCACGAAUAUCUUCUCUCGUGCCCCGAGGAAGACGGCCUAGUUGAAAACGUUGUCAUCGGCACACAACCAGUCUUAUAACUUGAGUGGCUGCUUUUCUGGGUGGUAAAGAGCGAUAUCACACCGGGGGUGAGCAGUCCAGGGACGGAUGAACAAAAGGCACUGCAGAGACUGUUGCCUGGACUCUGGGUGCUGUAGAUGUUUGAAGUUCAUGCGACCUAAAGAAAUGACAAGCUUGACGCCCACCGUGCAUUUACAAGAAAUUAUUGUCUGCCAAGUAGAGGAUCAGAUACCUUUGACUCGAACUUCUCAAGAGUCUCUUGAACAUUAGAUUUCAAGACUUCACCUAAAAGAUUCUAGUUCUGGAGGGGGAU